CGAUGAACCUCCUUCGGGAGGGGAUUAGUGGCGAACGGGUGAGUAACACGUGGGCAAUCUGCCCUGCACUCUGGGACAAGCCCUGGAAACGGGGUCUAAUACCGGAUACGACUACCGACCGCAUGGUCUGGUGGUGGAAAGCUCCGGCGGUGCAGGAUGAGCCCGCGGCCUAUCAGCUUGUUGGUGAGGUAACGGCUCACCAAGGCGACGACGGGUAGCCGGCCUGAGAGGGCGACCGGCCACACUGGGACUGAGACACGGCCCAGACUCCUACGGGAGGCAGCAGUGGGGAAUAUUGCACAAUGGGCGCAAGCCUGAUGCAGCGACGCCGCGUGAGGGAUGACGGCCUUCGGGUUGUAAACCUCUUUCAGCAGGGAAGAAGCGCAAGUGACGGUACCUGCAGAAGAAGCGCCGGCUAACUACGUGCCAGCAGCCGCGGUAAUACGUAGGGCGCAAGCGUUGUCCGGAAUUAUUGGGCGUAAAGAGCUCGUAGGCGGCUUGUCGCGUCGGUUGUGAAAGCCCGGGGCUUAACCCCGGGUCUGCAGUCGAUACGGGCAGGCUAGAGUUCGGUAGGGGAGAUCGGAAUUCCUGGUGUAGCGGUGAAAUGCGCAGAUAUCAGGAGGAACACCGGUGGCGAAGGCGGAUCUCUGGGCCGAUACUGACGCUGAGGAGCGAAAGCGUGGGGAGCGAACAGGAUUAGAUACCCUGGUAGUCCACGCCGUAAACGGUGGGCACUAGGUGUGGGCCACAUUCCACGUGGUCCGUGCCGCAGCUAACGCAUUAAGUGCCCCGCCUGGGGAGUAC
rnacentral:rRNA from 1 species